rnacentral:lncRNA from 1 species
AGAAUGGUGUAAAAUUAAACCGGCUGUUAUACAGUCUACUGAUCACCAAAGUGUAUUUUUAAAAUUUAAGCCAGGGUUAUCAGAAAGGGGAAAUGGGUAUUGGAAAAUAAAUAACUCAGUAUUACAAAAUAAAGAUUAUCAAGAAUGUAUAAAAUGUUUAAUUGAUAAAUAUACAUUUAAAAAAGACUCAAUAGAUUGUAGGCUUUUAUGGGAUGGAUUUAAAAUCGAGGUAAGGGAAGUAACUACAACUUACUGUAGAAAUAAAGCGAAGUUAACAAGAGAGCGAAGGCGUAGUUUAGAACAAGAUCUGGAACAAAAGAUGGAACUUAUAGAUGAGAGAAAUAAUGAUGAAAAUCAAAAUUUGGAAAAAGAAAUUAAAGAUAUAGAAAAAGAAUUAAGUAACAUUUAUGACGAAAAGGCAAGAGGGGCACAAAUUAGAUCUAGAGAAAAAUGGGUUGAGUUUGGGGAAAAGAACAAUUCCUACUUCCUCGGUCUAGAAAAGAAGAGGCAAGUGAAAAAAUCAAUAAGCAAACUAAAAGGAGAGGAUGGGGAAUUAAUUACUAAUCAAGAAAAUUUACUCCAUAAAAUAAAAAAUUUCUAUGAAAACUUGUAUAAUGUAAAAUCUGCAAAUAAAAAUUUAACUGAAAAAUAUAUCAAUGACACAAAAUUAGAAAAUCAAGUAGACGAAAAGGAUAAACUGAUAUGCGAUGGAAAAGUUACAGUAGAGGAAUGCACGCAAGGCAUUUAUAAAAUGAAACUAAAUAAAUCACCAGGGCUUGAUGGUCUAACGGUUGAAUUUUAUAGACAAUUUUGGGAUAAACUUAAAUUUUUAGUUGUGGAUGUUCUAAAUACUGGCUACGAUAAACAAAGUUUAUCAUACUCACAACGUACCAGUAUAUUAACUUUAAUAUUUAAAAAAGGAGAUCC